UCAAGAGUACGUGAAACCGUUCAGGGGUAAACCUGAGAAACCCAAAAGAUCGAAUGGGGAGAUUCAGCGCCGGCGAGUUGGCUUCCGUGCGGCUCGCGAUGUCGGUGGCUCGGCCGCCCGGCACGCGCGCUGCGGCAUGUCCGGACUUGCCGGCGUGCACUUCUCCCCUAGUAGGACGUCGCGACCCGUUGGGUGCGCCUACGGCCCGUUUGGUCGACUGUCGCGCUCUCUUAAACAGUGCGCGGCAGACCUUCGUCGCCCGGCCGACUGCCCGGCGGUAUUGAAUUUUAAAUGGUAUUAAGCCGCAUGAAUGCGUUCGGCUCGUCGGCAGGCUCGUCUCGCUCGGAUACGGACCUAGCGCCGUUGUCGGGCGCUUGGCGUGGCUUUGGUCGACGAUGCUCUCGAACCGGCUUUAAUCUAAUACUACCGGUCGGCGACGCUUUUGCUUUGGGUACUUUCAGGACCCGUCUUGAAACACGGACCAAGGAGUCUAACAUGUGCGCGAGUCAUUGGGCAACAAACCUAAAGGCGCAAUGAAAGUGAAGGGGUAGCCUCGGCCGAGGGAGGA
rnacentral:rRNA from 1 species